GAUGAACGCUAGCGACAGGCCUAACACAUGCAAGUCGAGGGGCAGCACGAAGUAAGCUUGCUUACUUUGGUGGCGACCGGCGCACGGGUGCGUAACAGGUGUGCAAUCUGUCCAUAAUCGGGGAAUAGCCCAGCGAAAGUUGGAUUAAUGCUCCAUGUGAGCCGAGGAGACAUCUCUUUGGUUUGAAACGCAAGGAUUAUGGGUGAGCACGCUUCUGAUUAGGUAGUUGGUGAGGUAACGGCUCACCAAGCCGAAGAUCAGUAGGGGUUCUGAGAGGAAGGUCCCCCACAUUGGAACUGAGACACGGUCCAAACUCCUACGGGAGGCAGCAGUGAGGAAUAUUGGUCAAUGGACGGAAGUUUGAACCAGCCAAGUCGCGUGAAGGAUGAAGGUUCUAUGGAUUGUAAACUUCUUUUGUCUGAGGGUAAAACAGCGGACGUGUCCGUUCUUGCAAGUAUCAGACGAAUAAGCAUCGGCUAACUCCGUGCCAGCAGCCGCGGUAAAAC
rnacentral:rRNA from 1 species